AUUGAACGCUGGCGGAAUGCUUUACACAUGCAAGUCGAACGGCAGCACGGGUGCUUGCACCUGGUGGCGAGUGGCGAACGGGUGAGUAAUACAUCGGAACGUACCCAGUCGUGGGGGAUAACGUAGCGAAAGUUACGCUAAUACCGCAUACGUCCUGAGGGAGAAAGCGGGGGACCGUAAGGCCUCGCGCGAUUGGAGCGGCCGAUGGCGGAUUAGCUAGUUGGUGGGGUAAAGGCCUACCAAGGCGACGAUCCGUAGCGGGUCUGGGAGGACGGCCCGCCACACUGGAACUGAGACACGGUCCAGACUCCUACGGGAGGCAGCAGUGGGGAAUUUUGGACAAUGGGCGAAAGCCUGAUCCAGCCAUUCCGCGUGAGUGAAGAAGGCCUUCGGGUUGUAAAGCUCUUUCGGCAGGGAAGAAACGGCUUGGGAUAAUACCCCGGGCUAAUGACGGCACCUGAAGAAGAAGCACCGGCUAACUACGUGCCAGCCGCCGCGGUAA
rnacentral:rRNA from 1 species